GUGCCAGCCGCCGCGGUAAUACCGGCAGCUCAAGUGAUGUCCCAUAUUAUUGGGCCUAAAGCGUCCGUAGCUGGCCGACCAAGUCUCCCGGGAAAUCCACCCGCCUAACGGGUGGGCGUCCAGCGGAAACUGUCCGGCUUGGGGCCGAACGACCCGAGGGGUACGUCCGGGAUAGGAGUGAAAUCCUGUAAUCCUGGACGGACCGCCGGUGGCGAAAGCGCCUCGGGAAGACGGACCCGACAGUGAGGGACGAAAGCUGGGUUCUCGAACCGGAUUAGAAACCCCGGUAGUCC
rnacentral:rRNA from 1 species